CAACACAUAUGACCUUUUAUAGCAUAAAUGUAUAGCGUUCUUUUACUUAUGCUAUCAUAGAGAAGCAAGUAUAGCGUUCGGUAGUGAGAAAGGAAGGAAAACCCUCGCGCCCAAAUACAACAGCGUUUCAUUAAAAGCCUUUGUUCCGCCAAAAUUAUCGGUGCUAAGAUUAGUGCCCAAAAUCGCACACCCCCGGUGAAAAUUUCAAUCGACUUCUCAGUGGCGCUAGAACUCCCAAUCUUUUCGUGCAAACUGGUGGAAGAUUUCUCAAGUUGGGCGAAUUGGUGUUGGCCGAUAAUGGAUCGAUCGUGGUAUUCUAGGGUUAAUCGUGAGUAGUAGGUAAUCCCCCCAAUCUUUUCUACUUCGUUUAUCCCCUGCGUGUUUUCCCGACUUUGCUAGGGUUCUCCUACUACAGGUUUUCAUUCAACAAAUCAAGUGGGUUCUUCUCCUCAUCGAGAGAUUUUGCCUGAACAGGUAGUGACAUUCAGAAGCACGCCUUCCUUUGCUACUUUCAUCUUCGUGUUCCAGUGAACGGCUGGAAUUAAUACGAUAUUCUAGUUGCUGGAACAGGGAAAUUAGUUGCUGAAUUUCGUGUAGGGAAGUUGGAACGGUUAUUUUGGGGAGCCUAAAGCUGAAAUGGCAAGGAGACAAGCUUUGUUUCCUGGAGACUCUGAGUUCCAACAGCUGCUUCACGUAUUCAGGAUGAUGGGAACACCAACGGAUAAGCAGUGGCCAGGAGUCAGUUCUCUACAGGACUGGCAUGUGUAUCCCCAGUGGGAGCCUCAGAACUUGGCAUGUGCCGUUCCAGCAUUGGAACCUGAGGGUCUCGAUCUUUUAUCGAUAACGACUUAAUGCUUGAAUUUCGCUUCUUUUAGGUGCUUUAUAUCCAUAAGAAGCUGGGACUUGCUAUUCUUUUGCUUAGUAUUGUUAUAAAUUUCUUUUUUAUAUAUUAGUAUAGAUAGAUUAUAGUCAUGCCUUGAAAUAUGAAAUAUGAUGAGAUUUUUAGUAUUGUUAUAAAUUUCUGGCUAAGUGUUGAAGUGAAAGUCUCCAAUGAAAACCACUAGUUUGAUUCUUCUUUUGUGGUGACUAGUAUGAUUUUACGAGAAGCAGUUCAGUGUGUGUUUACUCUCUUUUCAUUUGAGAAGUUUUAUAUGGAAUCCCAUACUCGACUAGAAAUCCGUCAGAAUACUCUUACAUGAUUCUAGUACUGUGGUUUCUUCCAUUUUGGAAAUGAUUUUUGGAGCAGUUUAUCUCAAUUAUUUUGGUUUCUGUGUUAACUGGAUCAAAUGUGGGCUACUGCCACCUCUUAUUACUGAUGAGAUCAUCUUUGCAAUGUUGAUAAUUUCAGGAAGUACUAGCUGCCGAUGUCACAGAUCAUAUCUUUGCAAUUGUUUUCUUCGGACUUCUACUACGUGCUACAUCUUUUCGGGGAUGAUUUUUGCUGGUACAACUUCUAAUACAACUUCAACCUACGGGCAUGUUUCUCAUAUUUUGGAGGGUUUCUAGUAGCCCAUUUAUGUGGUUGGCUUUGGGAGCAGAAAGGGUAUAACCUCGGCAAAGAAGCAAGCUUCAAGUAAAGAAAAUCUGCGGAAUGAGAUGGUUGGCCAAGUGCAUGAUUACAUUUUCAGGAAAAUAGAAUUACAUUAGUUAUUUUUUAAUGAGUCCAAUUAGUUGGGCUCUUUUAUGUAGUUUUUUGUUGGGAAAUUGUUUCCCAAGCUAAUGUAAUGAAUCUUUAUUGUAUAUUGACAUUUGGAUAUAGUUGGUGUUGAAUGGAAUAAAUCAUUUUUGUUUCUUAAAUAAAAUUACCAUGAUUUUAUUUGCA